AACCUCCUCUUGAAGAAGGCUGUUGGUCCUAAAACUGGCCCUGAACCUCCUCUUGAAGAAGGCUGUUGGUCCUAAAACUGGCCCUGAACCUCCUCUUGAAGAAGGCUGUUGGUCCUACUGAUUGUUUGUUUUCAGCCUUGUUUAUUGUUUACUAAUAUUGAUUCAGAGUUAUUAUGAAGUGUCUCAUAUCUGGAUAACCUGGUCUAGUCCAAUGAGGUUAUCCAGAUAUGAUUAUCCAGACCACAUUAGAUAAUACAAUGACUGUGUCCCAGAGGGCGGCCUUUACCCUAUGGGCCCUGGUUAACAGUAGUGUCCCCUUUACCCUAUGGGCCCUGGUCAACAGUAGUGUCCUCUUUAUCCUAUGGGCCCUGGUUAACAGUAGUGUCCCCUUCACCCUAUGGGCCCUGGUUAACAGUAGUGUCCCCUUCACCCUAUGGGCCCUGGUCAACAGUAGUGUUGAGGGUAAAGGGUGCACUACUGUUGACCAGGGCCCAUAGUGGUGUCCCCUUUACCUUAUGGGCCCCGGUCAAUAGUAGUGCAUGACAGAGGGGAUAGGAUUCAAUUUGGGACACUGGCCUGUUGGUCAUGUAUGUGCCUCCUUUAGUAAAUGCUAAAGUUAAAAAACGUCAUAUUGUACAAGAACAACAAUUCAUGUUGAUUGUAAGUGUGUUUCUUCUGCUACCUGAGCUGUGUUUUGACUGUGAUGAUGAUGGUGUGUUGUCAGGUUGUUUUUCUAUUGUGUUUACGUCCACUGUGUCCCUACUACAGUACAUGGCUCCUGUUAUAGCUGCUAGCUGGUAGCAUUGAAUAGGGAAGUCGUUCUGUGUCUCUGUAACAAAUGCCUCCCUAUUAACUGCACUACUUUGGACCAGGGCCCUAUGGGUCAUGGUCAAAAGUAGUGCACUAUGUAGGGAAUAAGGUGCAUUUUGGGAUGCAUCCUCGAUCUGUCCUGUUCCACACCACUAAUAGCUGAGCUGAACUGGUGUCCAGAUGUCACUCAGAGGCCUGUUGGGAUGCAUCCUCAAUCUGUCCUGCUCCACAGAGGUCAGGGGCCUGUUGGGAUGCAUCCUCAAUCUGUCCUGCUCCACAGAGGUCAGGGGCCUGUUGGGAUGCAUCCUCAAUCUGUCCUGCUCCACAGAGGUCAGAGGUCAGGGGCCUGUUGGGAUCCAUUCCAAUAGAAGUCGGUCAGUUCAGGAAAUAAACUGAAAUUCCAAUUCAAUAAUUACAAUUAUUUCUCAAUAAACUGAAAAUGAGAAGCUAUUUAUUUCAGAAAGGUUUUUCCGUUUUCAUUAGGAAUCAGAUGGUUUUGGAGUCGGGGGCGAGUUUUCAGAAAGGUAUUUUCUCUGUUGAUGCUGUCAUCUAGAUGAUCUGCUGUGUCCAGUUUAAAUGAAUCCAUGUUACAGUGUCGACGGACCACCGAGACACCACCUAUCCUAAUUAGAUAUCUAGCAUGCACCUGACACCUGUGCUAAUUAGAUAUCUACAUGCACCUGACACCUGUGCUAAUUAGAUAUCUAGCAUGCACCUGACACCUGUGCUAAUUAGAUAUCUAGCAUGCACCUG
ensembl:lncRNA